UUGGUGACGCAGUGUACGGAACGCUUUGGUAUGACAUGACGCCUGCCGAGUGUCGAAUUUUAUUAUUUGUGAUAUUAAGAUCGCAAAAGAGAUUGACGAUCACAGCCGGAAACGUCAUGGAUCUUUCUCUGGAAGGAUUUACGAGCGUGAUGAAAGCAUCCGCUUCGUAUAUGUCGGUGCUGCAUGCUAUGUCUUGAAGGCCGUGAAUAGUUGAAGAGACAGUAUCCUCCGUGUGUAUAUGUAGCUAUUAUGUCAUAAGAAAUGAGACAUCUCGCGUAUUCUAGUAAAACAUUGGCAUUCCACGAACAUGAAUGCUCGCAUGUAAUUACGUUAAUAUAUUUCAUUGGAAUUAAUGGA